rnacentral:lncRNA from 1 species
CGCUCAACACAGCUGUGCUGCCAGUUGCAAGGAGCCUCAUUCUAGAUCGUUCCUGAGCCUGAUGGAUUUACAGUGAUGUCCAAAUCUCCUGGGGAA